UCAAUGAGCAUUCCGCCCAUUCGUUCUUAUAUGACCCCAUAUUAGCCAGCUUGCCAAAGAAACUCAGUGACGCUACAGUCCGCCGCUCUCCCCUUGAGAGCGUACUAUUGCUUAAUAAAUCCCCACUCUACGUGUUUGACCUCCAUCUCUCGUCUCUGAAUUCUUUCUGUGAUGGGACAAGGACCUGCUCUCCAGGAACAUGGCAACAUAGACAUUCAAUCCAGUGCAGGUCCAAGUACUUGGGCUACAGCAGAGAGAAACUGACAAAAUUCCUGACCCUGUGACACGGUCUGGUCGUAGGAGACAUUCAGUUAAGCAAUAAGCGUAAUAGCAUCUAAUGUCAGGGCGGUGGCAUAAUUAACAAAUGGCCGUGAACGAAGAAAAUGAAGAAAAGGACAGUAUUUAUGUUUGGCAUCAGGAAAGGAGGAUGGAGGUUGGAGAAAAGAUGGAUGAGAACCAGCCUUCGCUUAGUGAAGUUACAUGAAGAACUCUGGGAAGGCUGUGCCUGGACCUGGGGAUCGGGCUGAUCUGACUGCUAACUUCAUUCAGCCUUUCCUGCUGGGAGAGGAUGGCUUCAAUAAAACAGCGGUAGAAACUUACUUGCACAGUGGCCUUCCUGUCACGAGAUGGCAAAAUUCUACAUAGAGAGCAUCUCGCUUGGGAAAAUGUUCAUAUAAGAAAUAAAGUCUGGCUUCCUGCUAGAUAAUUAGGAGCUGAGGUCAUGCUCUGGGUCACUCAAAAGGUAAUUCCCAUUUGUUACUAGGUUUAAACUCAACCCAAGUGAGUUGUAUUUCCGAUCGCCA